GCUCGGAUGGUCUAGUGGUAUGAUUCUCGCUUAGGGUUCCACUCUAAGCACCGAUACAUCGGCUUGCGAGAGGUCCCAGGUUCAAAUCCUGGUUCGAGCC